ACAGAUCUAACACUUGACAGGCAGACAGAAACUGAGCAUGGGGGUCACGUGAUUCUGUCACACUGAGCAGUCGACCGUUGCUGGGCUCCGGCUGCUACCGAGCUAUACCUGACUAUUUACUUAAUUUUAAAGGAAAGUUACAACCUUAAAAGUUUGCUAAACAAUAUCCAGACAACAUGCCUAACACUAAAGCCUCUAAACCUGCAAGAUGAGGAUCCUCGCCGUGGCCAAGGAGAAAGGACCUCUGACACAUGAGGGACAGACCGUAUUCAUCCGACAGGAUCUGGCAAGCGGAGUCAAGGAAAUGAGACGUGCGUUUAACGGCCAACAAAGUUACUCUUUUCACUCACCGAAGGAUGCACUCGCCUUCUUGGACGGACUGAGGUGAUGUGACAUUUUAAUAACACGCGAUGCCUCACUGUUUGCAGACACUGCAACCCCUCUGAUAACUUGUGCAAAGAUCACCGGCUCUACCUGCUCUGCCUGCCUGCUAGUUCCAAGUCCCUCAAAGCCGAGAUCCAAACUUUCCAGCCACACGCCAGCCAGCCACCCAUCACGCUCCACUGCUUGGAAAGAGACUCCCUGCCACCUCACCCUGCCUAGUUUGCUCACCCUGCCUCAGUCAAUAAACUGUUUAACUGCU